UACAGAGGGGGGCAAGCGUUGUUCGGAAUUACUGGGCGUAAAGGGCGCGUAGGCGGCCUGUUAAGUCGAACGUGAAAUCCCCGGGCUCAACCCGGGAACUGCGUCCGAUACUGGCAGGCUUGAAUCCGGGAGAGGGAUGCGGAAUUCCAGGUGUAGCGGUGAAAUGCGUAGAUAUCUGGAGGAACACCGGUGGCGAAGGCGGCAUCCUGGACCGGCAUUGACGCUGAGACGCGAAAGCGUGGGGAGCGAACAGG
rnacentral:rRNA from 1 species